UAGAGUUGGUGGAAAGCAGGACGCGGGAUCGACCCUGCGACCCCGCGUUCGCCCCACUAAUAUUACCUUAGGCUCCGCAAUCCUCUUCUUACGCAAACGCUUCCCGCCUAGUGUUCCCGAGCCUUCUCCUCCUGCACCUUCUUCUUCCUCGACAAGCCAAGCAACAUACAACUUCUUCUUCCUCGAAGAGCCAGGUAACCUCGCUAAAAUUUUCAGGGCGCGAGCAGAACACAAACUUCUAUUCUCUCUCUUUCGAAAUCCGCUAUGGCUUUGAGCCCGGAGGCUGAUCUGCAUCAUUUAAACAUAAGGAUUAUCUCUCCUCAGAUUCUAUUUGAGUGCCGUCCAAGAAGCUCAAACUGCACUCUUCCUUUUUUCUGCCAACCGUUAGCCCCUUGAACCUAGUUUUGGGGAAAAUGACCUUAGUCCUUUUUACUUUAAAUUAUUUUAUCCCAUGCUCAAUAGUUCAUUCUCACACUCUAACUUGCCACUUCAAACGCCAUUCUUAUGCUUAGAUUGUCCACCAUCAAAGGGCUAAAAUUUAAUUUUGGUAUGUGAGACUACACUGAUAGCUAAGGAGCAAAGAGAGGACACUUCCACUAUCAUUUGGCACCUUGGGGUUGAUCAAACUUUUCUUUUGUUACCUGGCUCUAUGAUGAGAGAUUCUUCCAUGUAUGAAUAGCCCUUACCUAGAGUGCUUAUCAAAAUUUAACCCUCAGCUGCAACAAACAACGAGUCAGCUUCCCCGCAGCAGCUUCCCCACAACAGCUUCCUGGGGCAGCUACAGCUGAAAACCUAGAAAUCUGCAGCUGCGCCAA